UACGUAGGGGGCAAGCGUUGUCCGGAAUUAUUGGGCGUAAAGCGCGCGCAGGCGGUUUUUUAAGUCUGGUGUAUAAACCUGAGGCUCAACCUUGGGACGCAUUGGAAACUGGGAAACUGGAGUGUAGGAGAGGAAAGUGGAAUUCCACGUGUAGCGGUGAAAUGCGUAGAUAUGUGGAGGAACACCAGUGGCGAAGGCGACUUUCUGGCCUAUAACUGACGCUGAGGCGCGAAAGCGUGGGGAGCAAACAGG
rnacentral:rRNA from 1 species